ACUGACCCACCAGGGAAGCCCCUGUCCUACUGCAUUUUAUGAGGACCAUUCUGGCACGUGAGUCCAGGAGCAGUGGGGGCUGUGGGAGCCCGAGGCCACAACCUGUGUGAGUGGUGACAGUGGCCUGGACCAGCCUGGCAGCUGUGGAGAUGGGGAGAACACUGAAGUAUAGCGGAGGUGAGUUCCUCGUCCAUGGUCACCUGGCUGGAAGAUGGUAGGGCCAGGCUUCAGGCUUAAUCACUUGCUAUACCACCUUUCACCCUGGCACAGCCAGGCUCGUCUCUGCUUUGGUGAUGAGCAGAGAAACAUAAGUGAACUACCUCUACCCUGUAUCGGGUUCUGUGGAUACAGCUGUGGGAGUGGAAGGGAGACAGGCUGGGAUCUGAGACCUGGGACCCUUUACCAGAGUCCUUGCACCUAGACAAACCUCUCCUCCAGCAACAGAAUAUGAAGAAACUACAAGGGACUGAAAAUAACUGCUCGCAUGCUCAGCUGGGACAACUAUAAGCAGUAAGAUACAAAAAGGCCACAAACCAACUGCCACGUCUGAGCUGCCAAGAGCAAAAGCAGGGGACUGUGCGUGAUCCUCACAUUCUGCAGACCAUCUCCUGCCCAACCCUGUGCCUGCUGUUACCCCAUUUAAGGAACCAGCUGGCACGCCCCCCUAUCCCCCAGGGAGUGGGCAAGGCACCUGUUACUAGUUUUCAUUCCCUCCUGCUGUAGCACGAGUCCCAAUAAAAGCCUUGCCUGAAUUUC